rnacentral:rRNA from 1 species
UACGUAGGGAGCGAGCGUUGUCCGGAUUUAUUGGGCGUAAAGCGCGCGUAGGCGGUUUGAUAAGCCGGGUGUGAAACCUCCAAGCUCAACUUGGAGCGGCCACUCGGAACUGUCAUGACUUGAGUCAGAUAGGGGAACACGGAAUUCCAGGUGUAGCGGUGAAAUGCUUAGAUAUCUGGAGGAACACCAGUGGCGAAGGCGGUGUUCUGGGCCUGUACUGACGCUGAUGCGCGAAAGCGUGGGGAGCGAACAGG